CUCACGUAAGAGCAGCUUCUUAGAGGGACAAUCUGCGCUCAGCAGAUGGAAGUUUGAGGCAAUAACAGGUCAGUGAUGCCCUUAGAUGCUCUGGGCUGCACGCGCGCUACAAUGAUGCAUUCAACGAGCUGACCUGGCUUGAAAAGGCCGGGUAAUCUUUAAAGUGCAUCCUAGUGGGGAUAGAUGAUUGCAAUUGUUCAUCUUGAACAAGGAAUAUCUAGUAAACGCAAGUCAUCAACUUGCAUUGAAUACGUCCCUGCCCUUUGUACACACCGCCCGUCGCUCCUACCGAUUGAAUAAUCCGGUAAAUUGAGUGGA
rnacentral:rRNA from 1 species